rnacentral:sRNA from 1 species
CUCACGGUAAAGCAGUGCAGGAUGAGAACCACUGGUUCGAGCGAAGCGAGACGACAACGCGAACGCGUUGCCCGUAGGGUAAGGUCGAAGACCGAAUCAAUCCAGCACGGCCCACUG